UUCAAUCAUGAAAAAAUAAUUAGAGAUUCUAUUUAAUUAAAUUUUAACAAUUACAAAGAUCUAUGAGACCUUAUUUAAAUAUAAUUUAAUUGUGAAAGUUUUGAAGCUUCGCACAAUAACCCGGAUUGCAUACCUUCAAAGAUAAUCCUAAAUAUAGACAAACUUGAAAUAGCAAGAUAAUUGUAACAUAAACAAACUUGACAAUAUUAAUCUUAUUAUUCUCCUUUUGCAUGUAUCAAGAAGAAUAUAAUUUUAUUAUUUUAUAAUAUAUAUAAAAAGCUCAUGGUUUCCUUUUUCUUUUUCUUUGAAUGGGAGCUAAUGCUUAUGGAGUUUUAGUCCUUAUGGAGUUUUAAAAAUCAAUUCCUAAAAUAAAUCAUUUAUUAAAUGUAUCAUGAAUACAUUCAUUUGCUGAUUUUUGUCUCUUCAACGCACUUAGCUUGACACUUCCAUAAAAUACUUACUAAUCAUAAGAAUUCUUUCUUUUUUUUAACACACAUGUACACCUGCCCACACUACACCUCGGUUUAAUACACCUGCCCACACUACACCACGGUGUAGAAGGAAGUGGGCAAUAAUCUUUUGGACAAUCAGAAUUUUCAAAACAUUUAGGAGCAGCUGUAACGAAAAAAGAAAAUAAAAAAAUAUAAAUAUAAUGUCAUAAAAUAUUGGGUAGGAAGUAAAUAGGCAAUAAUCUUUUGGACAAUCAGAAUUUUCAAAACAUUUAGGAGCAGCUGUAACGAAAAAAGAAAAUAAAAAAAUAUAAAUAUAAUGUCAUAAAAUAUUGGGUAGGAAGUAAAUAAAGAAAUUUGAUCAAAAGGAUAGAAAAAAAUACUUACCAUCAGCGUUCAUUGCAACAAGAAGUAUGAAAAGAAAGAUAAACAUAACACAAACAAACUUGACAAUUUCACCCAUAUUUCACCCCUUUGUAUGUAUAAACUAGAAUAUGAUUUUAUCACUUUAUAAGCUAAAAAGUUUAGCCCUUAUAGAGUUGUAAGCUUUUAAAAAAAAAAGAUAUAUUAUAAUUAAAUGCUUCUUAAGUACAUCAAAGUGUUGUAUUUGUCCUUUCCACACACUUAAUAAAGAGAUCACAUAUAAGAAAUCACAUAUAAGAAAUUACUUUAUCAUAAGAAUGCAUUCAUUUUUAAUAUUAAACUUCCGUGACUUGAUAACUUUUCAUGAUUGAGAAAGGAAAAUUACAAAAGAUACCACAACAUAGAUAUUUUCAAACAAGUUUUCACAUUAUUUGGAUAUUAGCUGAGGUGAAAUCUAUUCUAAUAGGUGCUAGUUUUUUUAAUUAAAAGAACACCAUCUAUCUUCUCAGUUGGGAAAAUACAUAUUCUUUCUUCUGGUGUUGUCUAAUGGAUUUUGUGACUUCGCAAGAACUCUAUUUUAUUUAAGGGCAGAGUCUUAAGACUCUUAGUUAAUAUAAUUAUUGUAAUGUGUAUUAAGCGGUUAUUCUGAGAUUGAUACCAAAUUAAGCUCAAAUAUUCUAUAUCUCAUUCCACUAUAAAAAAUAAGCGUUUUAGCCUCAACUUUAUAGCGUCGGCCGCAACAUCGGCCGCAACAUUGACGCUAUUCGUGUAUGAUUUGUAUAACCUAUACGAACACUAAAGGAUAAUUAUUUUGUUUUAAAAAUUUUAAUAUAUUUUUUUAUUUAUUGAAAAUAUUUACGUCGGUGUGACCGACGCUAAUGGAAUUUUAUUAAAGCACCAAACUAUUUCAUUAUAUUAAUUUUAUUGAUUAGUUAGCUACUGAUAGACUGAGACUAACUAAUUUAAUAUUUUUUAUUUAUUUUUGUUUGACCGCGUAGACACGGUCGCUACGUAUUUUUCUUUCUUUAUUUAUUUGUUUAUUUUAUUUCCCUAUUUUUUUCAUUUAGCGCCAAUUCUUUUUAGCUUUAUUUAUUUAUCAUUUUAAUAUUUGUGUCGGUUUAACGGAUGCUAAAAGAUUUUGUUGACUUUCCUCAGUUGAUUAUAUAGUAGGUCAAGUCGACGCUACUUUGGUGCCAUUAACUUUUCCUUGGUUGACUAUAGAGUCAGUCAAGCAAACUCUACUGGAAAAUACUGACUUUUUGUGUAGAUUAUAGAGUCGGUAAGCCGAUUCUAAACAUAUUAAUUGACUUUUUCGUUGACUUUAGAGUCCGUGUAUGCAACGUUAAAUAUAGUUGACUUUUCUAUGUUGAUUUUAGGGUCAGACAAGUAGACGCUAGAGUUUUUUUACUUUUAUAAGUUGACCUUAAUGUCGGUUGGCCGACGCUAUUAUAAAAUGUUGAUUUUUGUUUGUUGACUUUAGAGUCGGCUAGGGCACUGCUAAACAUAAUUGUUGAUUGUUCAUGAUUUUGAAACAAUAUAGUGUCGAAUCAUUUAAUGGGCUAUUAUAAAAUGUUGAUUUUUGUUUGUUGACUUUAGAGUUGGCUAGGGCACUGCUAGGCAUAAUUGUUGAUUGUUCAUGAUUUUGAGACAAUAUAGUGUCGAAUCAUUUAAUGGGCUAUUAUAAAAUGUUGAUUUUUGUUUGUUGACUUUAGAGUUGGCUAGGGCACUGCUAAGCAUAAUUGUUGAUUGUUCAUGAUUUUGAAAUAAUAUAGUGUCGAAUCAUUUAAUGUCCUCUUAGUCUCGGUGCAUUUCUAGCAGAAGCUAUCCAGUAGCUUCGCAACUUUUAUCUAAGGCCCGACACCGACGUUAAACACACCAUUUUUCACCUUUAGCGUCUCCCACGGCCGACGCUAAUAACUAUUUUUUGUAUUUUAUCGUGUGAUGGAGGGGUAUCUUAUUAUCUACUAUUUUCAAAUUUCCUAUUUAUAAUAAAAACAUAGAUCUAGAAUUUAAAUAGAUUAAAUAUAAUAGCAACAAAAUCAGAAAUAACAUAGUGAUUGAUUUUUUAUUUAAAAUAAAAAAUAUUUUUUUUGGAAAAUAUUUGAAUUUGUGAUUUGGUCUUAUCUGGUUUUGAAAGAAGGCAUGUAAUGUUGAUUUGAGAGGAUUUGGAAAGUUUGAUUUUGGAAUGAUUAUGUUUGUGAUUUAAGAAUGAAAAAACAGUAUUUUAUUUUGGAAUGAUCACAGUUGGUCAAGUCGACGCUACUUUGGUGCCAUUAACUUUUCCUUGGUUGAUUAUAGAGUCGGUCAAGCCGACACUACUAGAAAAUAUUGACUUUUUUUUUUAGAUUAUAGAGUCGGUAAGCCGAUUCUAAACAUAUUAAUUGUCUUUUUUGUUGACUUUAGAGUCGGUGUAUGCAACGCUAAAUAUAAUUAUUGACUUUUCUAUGUUGAUUUUAGGGUCGUACAAGCUGACGCUAUAUCUUUUGACUUUUAUAAGUUGACCAUAACGUCGGCUGGCCGACGCUAUUAGAAAAUGUGGAUUUUUGUUUGUUUUCAAGCAACGCUAAGCAUAAUUGUUGUCUGUGCAUGAUUUUGAAACAAUAUAGCAUCGAAUAAUUUAGUGUCCUCUUAGCCUCGGUCCAUCUCUAGCCAAAGCUAUCCAGUAGUUUUGUAACUUUUAUCUAAGGCCCGACACCAACGCUAAACACAUAUUAGUGUCCAUUUUUUACCUUUAGCGUCUUCAAAUGGCCGACGCUAAUAACUAUUUUACUAGUGGUGUUCGUAGGAGAAUUUAGAAUCUAAUCCAUGAUCCUGUUUGUCCCCUAGUAGAAUGUUUUUUUUUCUUGCCCUAAUUUUUUUAUAAUUAGGAUUGAGUAACCUUUAUACUUAUUUAAUUCUAAUUCAAGUUGCUUAUUAGAAAAAUCAACAUUUGUUACUUAAGAAAUUGAAAUAUUAAGCAAAAUAAUUCUAAUAUAAACAAACUUGACAAUAUUAAUCUUAUUAUUUUCCUUUUGCAUGUAUGAAGAAGAAUAUAAUUUUAUUAUUUUUUAAUAUAUAAAAAGUCCAUGGUUUCCUUUUUCUUUUUCUUUUUUUGAAUGGGAGCUAAUGCUUUCCUAAUAUAAAUUAAAUAGGGUUUUAGUCCUUAUGGAGUUUUAAAAAUCAAUUCCUAAAAUAAAUCAUUUAUUAAAUGUGUCAUGAAUACAUUCAUUUGCUGAUUUUUGUCUCUUCAACGCACUUAGCUUGACACUUCCAUAAAAUACUUACUAAUCAUAAGAAUUCAUUUUUUUUUUAACACACAUGUACACCUGCCCUCACUACACCUCGGUUUAAUACACCUGCUGCGCACACUACACCACGGUUUAGAAGGAAGUGGGCAAUAAUCUUUUGGACAAUCAGAAUUUUCAAAACAUUUAGGAGCAGCUGUAACGAAAAAAGAAAAUAAAAAAAUAUAAAUAUAAUGUCAUAAAAUAUUGGGUAGGAAGUAAAUAGGCAAUAAUCUUUUGGACAAUCAGAAUUUUCAAAACAUUUAGGAGCAGCUGUAACGAAAAAAGAAAAUAAAAAAAUAUAAAUAUAAUGUCAUAAAAUAUUGGGUAGGAAGUAAAUAAAGAAAUUUGAAAAGGAUAGAAAAAAUACUUACCAUCAGCAUUCAUUGCAACAACAAGUUUGAAAAGAAAGAUAAACAUAACACAAACAAACUUGACAAUUUGACCCAUAUUUCACCCCUUUGUAUGUAUAAACUAGAAUAUGAUUUUAUCACUUUAUAAGCUAAAAAGUUU
rnacentral:lncRNA from 1 species